GGCCCAGUAGCUCAGCUGGUUAGAGCAGCGGACUCAUAAUCCGUCGGUCGCGGGUUCAAGCCCCGCCUGGGCUA
rnacentral:tRNA from 1 species